GGAGGUAGUGACAAUAAAUCACAAUGCGGGACUAUUAGUUUUGCAAUUGGAUUGAGAACAAUGUAAAAGAGUUAUCGAUAAACAAUUGGAGGGCAAGUCUGGUGCCAGCAGCCGCGGUAAUUCCAGCUCCAAUAGCGUAUAUUAACGUUGUUGCAGUUAAAAAGCUCGUAGUUGAAGUGUGGGGUGAAAAAAUUGGUAAUCUUUUUGAUUGCUUAUUUGCUCACCCCCUCUCCAAUUUGUUAUUAUGGGUAUUAAUUUACUUGUAAUAGCUGUUGGUCAUUUACUGUGAGAAAAUUAGAGUGUUCAAAGCAGGCAUUUGCUUGAAUAUAUUAGCAUGGAAUAAUAGUAAAAGGCUUUUGUGGUCGAUUUAAUUGGUUUGUUCAUAAAAGCAAGAUUAAUAGGGACAGUUGGGGGUAUUCAUAUUCAAUAGUUAGAGGUGAAAUUCUCGGAUUUAUGGAAGAUGAACAA
rnacentral:rRNA from 1 species